CAGACAAUACAAUCGGCAUAAUGGAAAAAAGUUGUCUCAUAUGGACAAUUAUACAUCUCAUGUGGACAAUAAUUGGGAGUAUAUGACCUACCUUACUAAGCUACAAUAGUUGUUUUCGUGUGAACGCUGCUCUUGGCAUUAUAUUUUUGACAGAAAUUCUAUGUGUGUGGGAAAUCAAUGAAAUGACAGCACUAAAGAAGAAGCUUAUUACCUGCAUAGUUCUCUUGACAAUAUAAUGUCAAAGCUAUUUCUGCUACGUCAGAGAGACGUGUUUCCUGUCAGUUCUGCUCCCUGGAAGGAGUGGCGCCUUAGUCUGCAUCAACAUGUUAUAUGGCACUUGAAAGAACUGAAAGCAGAAUUUUAUAUUUUUCUAUCAAUAUCUAUGAUAGUAAAACCUAUGUUUCUACUACCUCUUCACAUUUGACCCUUUCUAUUUGAUUCAACUUGUAAUUUCUGAUUGAUUACUUUCAUUAAACAUACAUGCAUGUA